GGGCGCGCGGAGACUAAAUUCAUGCUAGAUAAGAGUGCUGGCUUUGAUGUGGUUGAAUGCUUGCUCACCGUCACACAGCUGGAGAGACACAACUGGAGAUAAGGAAACCGAGGCCCGGAACAAUGAAGGAAGCUGAGACCACACAGGCCGCGAGCGUCCAGGCCUCUCUGAGAAACACCCGGAUGCAUUUCCCGCAGCAAGGCUCCCUGGGAAG